rnacentral:lncRNA from 1 species
CUUUACUCUAGCUAACUAUUGCCUCUACAAAGCUACUUAUUUAAAAAAAAAGUCUCCUAAAUUCUUCUGAAAAGACUAUAUAAAAAGUUUCUUAAUAUCACAUUUAAGUAAUUUAAUAGAUUACGUGAUAAAUAGGACUCUUGUAGUCUAAGCACCCACCAUGAGGUGUUUCCACUUUUUCUUUGGAAAACUACAGGUUGUCGGGGGUUGCCCCCGAUGGAAUGCCAUUGCUCGGGAAUUGAAGGGUGCCGCUCGGUGACGCGUAAGUGGCCCAGCCUGCCAGCCUGCCCGGGCCCGGGAGAGCCGAGUCGCUGCAGCAGCUGGGGAGAGAGGCGCACGAGCCCACUGACUGCGGGCGGGACGGAGGAGCCGAGGGCUGAGCUUGCACUACUCGGACUUGGGUCCUUGCUGCUUGGGAACCUUGACAAAGAAGCAAGCCUACACCUGUCCCUGCCUUGA